rnacentral:lncRNA from 1 species
GUUUGUUUCUCUCAUCUGUGGGUUGUUGUACUGUGGCAGUUGUGUGUUGCUGUGAAGCUGAAAGCUAUGCUGCUGGUACUUCAAAUACCAGCAGGGUCAUCCAUGGUGGACAGGUUUCAUCAGAGCUUCCAGACUAAGACAGACUAGGAAGAAAGACCUGGGCACCCACUUCCAAAAAAACUGGCCAUGAAAAGCAGUGGCAUAGUGGCAGAAGAUACUGUGCAUGUAUCCUCAACAAUACUUAUUUCUGACCACUGCUGUAGUUCAAAGAAACAUACUUGGAAGGAUACGUUUUACUGGUCCUUUACAUAUCCUGGAGACGAGUCCUUUGUCAGAUUGAUGGAUAGCACUAUCUUCUUCCACUCUACGGUUUGCCUGGUUACACUAUUAAAAGUGCUGUCAGCCUCAGCACCCCCCCCUCCAACCCACCUAUGGCUUCAAGUUGCAUCUGGACAACACGUGAUGCUGGAAUAGAAUUUUACAACCAGACACAAAGAAGAAGAGAAAAGUCAAGCGCUUAGUGAGAAUCAGUUGCAGGAAGUAAAGAGUGGAAUCGAGAGAUAGCUAGGCUGGCCCUGAGCUAACAUCCGUGCCCAUCUUCGUCUGCUUUAUACUUGGGACGCCUACCACAGCAUGGUGUGCGAAGCAGUGUCAUGUCUGCAACUGGGAUCCGAACCGGUGAACCCCGGGCCGCGGAGAAGAAGAACCUGCGAACUUAAUUGCUGCACCACCGGGCCUGCCCCAGGCAUUUCUUUUAAAGAUUAUUUUUGAGAAGCUAAUAGAAUGUCAAAAUGUGGUUAUCAAAGUUGCAUUGUGAUGUUUGUGCUUCUAGUUCAGAGAUGUGUGCCUUAGAUAAAAAACGGACAGUUGUCUACAUAGGGAUGGUAUUUAAAACUUGGGAUAGACCACCAAAAAAGUUAGUUGUUAUGGGUUAAAUAUGUGCAUUCCCCCAAAAUUCACAUGAUAAAAUCCUACCCCCUAAUGUGAUAGUAUUAGGAGGGGUAGCCUUUGGAAGGUUUUUAGGUCACGGGAGCAGGGCCCUUAUAAAUAGGAUUAAUGCUCUUAUAAAAUGGACCCCAGAGAGCUUUCUCCCCUUUUUUCUGCUGUGUGAGGGUACACGGAGAAGUUGGCAGUCUGCACCUGGAAGAGGGCCCUUCCUAGAACCUGACCAUGCUGGCAUCAUGAUCUUGGAUUUCCAGCCUCUAGAACUAUGAGUAAAUGAAUUUCUGCUCAUGGUAUUUUGUAAAUUCUCAGUCAUUAUAUUUUUAUUGUUUG